rnacentral:lncRNA from 1 species
GAUCAGUCAACACAAGAAAUCAAGUGGCAACGCCUUCCCUCCCCAACAAAAGGGGUUUGUUUCAUGUAUACACAGGAUACGUAAGUGGUGAAGUUUAUUCGUCCGUGUUCCACGCACGGAAACAUGCUCCGCGAUGCCUAUCCUCUACUCCGUAAGUCAAAAGAGGACCGUGUGAUCUGCCAGCGGAUAUUGCUCCCUGUACUCUAUGGUUCCAGGUUCCCUGUUCGCAUUUAUACAUUUCACUGGUGCAUGGUUUCCAAUAAACAUACUCCUCAGACAGGAUAAACAGUCCGUGGAGAGGGCUCUCGGCGAUCAAACGAUCGACACCAUGCACGGCUGUUGCAUUGCCAAUCUCGACCAACUGAGUUGGCGUUGGUCAACGUCAAUUCGAUAGAAGGCUCAAGGUAGGACUAAGGAAUCAGGUUUCCGUCGGCCGAAUCCAUCUCCUCUUCCCUAUCCUAUACCUCAGACCCAGUGCCAGCAGAGAUAUCGAACAAGAAACAGGUUGAUAUCCUGGGCAACGACAAGACACAUCUCAGCAAACACAAACACAAACACAAACACAACCCGAAAAAAAACAAGUCUGCAUUGGUUAAGCCCCGAACCACACAUGCAAAGCAGUCUGAUUGGCCGAGCCUCAAACGGGUGAUUCUAUCAAUUGUGCUCCCCCCCCAUUGGUGGAACCAGUCCCGAUAAAGCGCAAGUGUCAAUCCCAAUUCUUCCAAAGUUCCGCUCCAAUCCUCUCGGGACAGUCGGGCUGGGCUCCCGACCAGACCAGAAAGGGAAGUGGACCAGCCCUGUUCACAGGAAUUGAGGGGGAGAUACUUCCCCUCUGUUUGAAUGGAUGAAAAGAGUCAAUGGACUUACUUGCUCUGUUACUUUCUACGGAGUCUGUACUCUGUAGUCAUUCAAGGGUUUCUUGGGUGACAUCACAUGCAAACAAGUUACAUCAUAGUACCUACGCUCUGGAUACCAUACCGUAACUAUCUACUACGGAGUAUACUACUAGUAUAGGCUAUCACCAUGCUUGCAAGUACAGAGUACAUCUUCUCGGCAAAACGUGUACUUUUCCCCCAACUAGCGCAGAGUAUACAUACACGCGAGUCUGCUGCAAGCCACAUCUUAUUUUUGCACGUCGGACCUCAAGUUGCGUGAUUUGAUGUCAUACGACAGACGCAUGAUUGCAAUCCCGACUUAAGACGAUCCUCAUUACCUUAUACCGUGCGUUCAUACGAUCUAGUAUGUACGGGAAUUAGUAACACACUUAUUCGUAUGUCAACGUUUGCGGGGUUGUUGUACUCUGUACUUCUGUACUACCAUCAAUACAAAAAAGGCCCAAAGCAGCAUUCUAAACCCUGAUUG